GAAACCAGGCUGCCACAAGGGAGCCGAGGGUCGGACUGCAUUUUGCAAAGCCCAUGGGGGUGGUCGUCGAUGUGAAUUCUUAGGUUGUACAAAGAGCGCGGAAGGACGCACCGACUUUUGCAUUGCGCAUGGGGGUGGACGUCGUUGCAGUCAUGAAGGAUGCAGCCGUGCUGCAAGAGGGAAGUCUGGAUUAUGCAUUCGGCAUGGUGGGGGGAAGAGAUGCCAGCAUGAGGGCUGUACCAAAAGUGCAGAAGGACUCUCUGGUCUUUGCAUUUCACAUGGAGGUGGCCGGCGCUGUCAGUACCCCCAAUGCACUAAAGGAGCCCAAGGAAGCACCAUGUUUUGCAAGGCACACGGUGGUGGUAAGCGCUGUACCUUUGAAGGAUGCAAUAAGGGGGCAGAGGGGAGCACAGCUUUCUGUAAGGGUCACGGUGGUGGCAAGAGAUGUUCAUUCCAAGGAAAUGGGCUCUGCCCGAAGAGUGUUCAUGGGGGGACACUCUUCUGCGUGGCCCAUGGUGGUGGCAAGAGGUGUGCUGUGGCAGAGUGUACCAGAAGUGCAAGGGGAAGAACUGAUUUUUGUGUACGCCAUGGUGGUGGAAAAAGAUGCAAAGUUGAUGGCUGUGGGAAAAGUGCUCAGGGAAGCACUGAUUUCUGCAAAGCCCACGGCGGAGGGAAGAGAUGCUCUUGGGGUCAGCCUGAUUCUGAAUUUGGCCAAGGUGAUGGUCCUUGUAACUCAUUUGCUAGAGGGAAGACUGGACUUUGUGCAUCUCACGGUGCUCUCAUUCAAGACAAACGCGUCCACGGAGGUGCCACUCUUGGGACUAUAGUCCUGGAUCUAGCGCCAAACCAGUCUGAGAAAAUAAAGGAGAUUGUUAACGUGGAAGACAUCUGUUUUGAUGUCACGAAAAUGCAGAGUAUUGGUAUGACAUCCAGCAAUGACUCUCACAUGAAAUAUCUUGGAUUUAACCAACCCAACGUUCCAGUCGCAGGCAGCUCAUCAUCAGUUUCUGAAGGAAGGGUGCACGGAGGAGGUUUGAUGGCAUUACUAGCAGGCGGUUCUGGCCGUACCUCAAACAGCAGCAAGGAACCAGUUACUGCAUCUGAGCCAGGGAGUUCUUUCAUAGUCUCUAAGAAUAGGAUGCAUGUAUAGCCACACUAUUUCUCAAUUUGGUUUGCAGGUCUGCAUCGCUCCACCGCUAUGUUUGUGUCCUCUUUCAUUUUAGUUUCUUAUGUUAUAUUGGGUUUGAACUGGAACUGCUACUGCUAAAUGUAUCUGUAUCAAUAAGGGGAGAAACCCCACUAGGGUCAUUGGUAUUUGUACAUACCUUUCUUUUCAUGUAACAUUUGGUCUUGUGAAUAUUUCGGACUUGUUGUAGUACAACUUUUAGUAGUUUUUCAUUCUGGAGUUUGAUAU
rnacentral:misc_RNA from 1 species